AGUCAUAUGCUUGUCUCAAAGAUUAAGCCAUGCAUGUGUAAGUACAGACCGAUUUAAGGUGAAACCGCGAAUGGCUCAUUAAAUCAGCUGUGGUUCAUUGGAUCUUAAACCCACUUACUUGGAUAACUGUGGUAAUUCUAGAGCUAAUACAUGCGUCCAGUCUCCAACCGCAAGGGAAGAGCGCUCUUAUUAGUCCCAAAACCGGUCGGGCCUCGGUCCGUACUCCAAAGGUGAUGAAUCUGAAUAAUUUUGACCUGAGCGCACGGUCUCUGCACCGGCGCCGUAUCUUUCAAGUGUCUGCCUUAUCAGCUCUCGACUGUAGGUUAUGUGCCUACAUUGGCUAUAACGGGUAACGGGGAAUCAGGGUUCGAUUCCGGAGAGGGAGCCUGAGAAACGGCUACCACAUCUAAGGAAGGCAGCAGGCACGCAAAUUACCCACUCCCGGCACGGGGAGGUAGUGACGAAAAAUAACGGUGCGAGACUCAUCCGAGGCCUCGCAAUCGGAAUGAGUACACUUUAAAUCCUAUAACGAGGAUCGAUUGGAGGGCAAGUCUGGUGCCAGCAGCCGCGGUAAUUCCAGCUCCAAUAGCGUAUAUUAAAGUUGUUGCGGUUAAAAAGCUCGUAGUUGAUCCUCAGUUCCGGACUGACGGUGCACCGCCCGGUGUCUCUCCGUCAUGCUCCGAACAGCAGGGACGAUGACCCUGCCCGGCCGGCUCGCACGGGGUGCUCUUCAUCGAGUGUCCCGCGUGGCCGGCAAGUUUACUUUGAAAAAAUUAGAGUGCUCAAAGCAGGCUACUUGUAUGGCCUGAAUGGUGAUGCAUGGAAUAAUGGAAUAGGACCUCGGUUCUAUUUUAUUGGUUUUCCGAACCCGAGGUAAUGACUAAUAGAAACAGGCGGGGGCAUUCGUACUGCGACGCUAGAGGUGAAAUUCUUGGACCGUCGCAAGACGAACUACUGCGAAAGCAUUUGCCAAGGAUGUUUUCAUUAAUCAAGAACGAAAGUUAGAGGUUCGAAGGCGAUCAGAUACCGCCCUAGUUCUAACCAUAAACGAUGCUGACCAGCGAUCCGCCGGCGUUAUUCCCAUGACCCGGCGGGCAGCUUCCGGGAAACCAAAGUCUUUGAG
rnacentral:rRNA from 1 species